rnacentral:rRNA from 1 species
UACGUAGGGGGCAAGCGUUGUCCGGAUUCAUUGGGCGUAAAGAGCGUGUAGGCGGCCAGGUAGGUCGGUUGUGAAAACUGGAGGCUCAACCUUCAGAGGUCGACCGAAACCAUCUGGCUAGAGUCCGGGAGAGGAGAGUGGAAUUCCUGGUGUAGCGGUGAAAUGCGUAGAUAUCAGGAGGAACACCGGUGGCGAAAGCGGCUCUCUGGACCACAACUGACGCUGAGGCGCGAAAGCUAGGGGAGCAAACAGG